ACUCUCCCACUAGCCGGUGUGACCCUGACUCUGUGCCGGGUCUGAGGAUGCCCUCCGUCGUCAUCCCUUAGAAGGCGUUACCUGCUUUCAGACUGCCUCGUUGCGGCGCACUCACUACUUCCAAAAGCCUAGCAUUUCGAGACAACAAUCCCUUCUUGUUCACGCUCUCAUUGACGAGCGUGGAACUGCCAUGGAUUGGUCUUUCGGUGCCGAUUGAUGCACGGUCGUCGGCGCCAUUAUGCAUCCACCGUUCGCAACAGGCCUUAAUAACCCGCAUUUCCCGAGCGUCCGCCAAAGAAUUCAGACUACACUUUCGGGGGCCGAGUUGGCCCCUCCCAGUAACCUUUGACCCUUUGAACUCACGUCUUCUCCUCUCACCUUAAGGUGCACAUCGCCACUUUACGCAUCUCUACACCUCCUUGUGGUCACCGCUUCCGCUGAGAGACCAGACAUUGACUGCGACUCCUCGCUUUCGCACCCCUCGCUUGUCCUAAUCUAUGGGACCAUCAGGUGCGGCAUUUGCUACUCACGAUUCACAAUCCCCCAA
rnacentral:rRNA from 1 species